rnacentral:rRNA from 1 species
GACGAACGCUGGCGGCGUGCUUAACACAUGCAAGUCGAACGGAAAGGCCCUGCUUUUGUGGGGUGCUCGAGUGGCGAACGGGUGAGUAACACGUGAGUAACCUGCCCUUGACUUUGGGAUAACUUCAGGAAACUGGGGCUAAUACCGGAUAGGAGCUCCUGCUGCAUGGGGGGGGUUGGAAAGUUUCGGCGGUGGGGGAUGGACUCGCGGCUUAUCAGCUUGUGGGUGGGGUAGUGGCUUACCAAGGCUUUGACGGGUAGCCGGCCUGAGAGGGUGACCGGCCACAUUGGGACUGCGGUACGGCCCAGACUCCUACGGGAGGCAGCAGUGGGGAAUAUUGCACAAUGGGCGGAAGCCUGAUGCAGCAACGCCGCGUGCGGGAUGACGGCCUUCGGGUUGUAAACCGCUUUCGCCUGUGACGAAGCGUGAGUGACGGUAAUGGGUAAAGAAGCACCGGCUAACUACGUG